AGUUCAUUAUGUUGGACAAGGCGCGUCUGCGCCUCCGGCCGCCGCGGCUCCCGGGGCCUCCGCCUGCAGCCUGCGGCGGAACGGGGGCAGGCGGCUGAGACAGGCGAGCUAUUUGCAUUCCCCGGCAGUCAUUUUUAUAUGCGGAGGUAAUGAAGUUGUCAGCGGCGCCCCGAGUGUGGCAGAGCCUGAUAUUCAAAUCGCCCUGCCCGCUCCGCCUGCUCCCGCCCGCCGGUCCCGGGAGCCCCAGGCUGCGCGCGCCCGCACCGCAUCCCCGCUUUGCCCCGCGACCGCGCGCGCCUCCUCGUCCUCCCCCGCGCCUUUGUUUCCGUCUCCUUCUCCUUUCCCUCCUCUUUUGUGUCGGGCCAGACUCAGCCCCAGAAACCAGCCACCCUGCCGCGUCCGACUGCCAGGGAUCCCUCACGCCGCGAGUACCAGAGAUGUCUCCAAGAGCACCAGCAACCCCAGCUAUCUGGAUCUGAAGUGGAUCUGCUCAGAGACAUCCUGGCCCACCCCAAAGAAGAUGCUGCUGCACUCAGAAGACGCCAGAGCUAGCCACCACCCACACUGCAAGUCUGGAAGCUCUGCCAGGACCCAGCAAGGCAGCCUGCUCAGCGAAGGCUUUGUCUCCUGUGGCAGGAAGAGCAACAUUAAGAACAAGAACCCCGGGCUGGACUACCCUCGAGAUUUAAUGACCAGAGCUGAGACCCCCAAGACCACAAUGACUAUGGAGGGCUGUCAUUACCUUGCCUGACCCUCUAAUGCAUCUCAGUUCAUGGAGGCCACUGAGUGAAACCGAAGGCUGGUUUUCCUUGGAAGCCAGCGGCCCAUCCACCUGCUCCACUUCCCUGCCUCUUGCAGCCUCUGCUCAAACACUGUCGUGGCUUGGCAGCA
rnacentral:lncRNA from 1 species